rnacentral:rRNA from 1 species
AACGAACGCUGGCGGCAGGCUUAACACAUGAAAGUCGAACGCAUCGCAAGAUGUGUGGCAGACGGGUGAGUAACGAGUGGGAACAUACACUUUUCUACGGAAUAGCUCUGGGAAACUGGAAUUCAUACCGUAUCUGCCCUCCGGGGGCAAGAUUUACCGGGGAAGGAUUGGCCAGCGUUGGAUUAGCUAGUUGGUGGGGUAAAGGCCUACCAAGGCGACGAUCAAUAGCAGGUCUGAGAGGAUGAUCAGCCACAUUGGGACUGAGAACACGGCCCAAACUCCUACGGGAGGCAGCAGUGGGGAAUAUUGGACAAUGGGCGCAAGCCUGAUCCAGCCAUGCCGCGUGAGUGAUGAAGGCCUUAGGGUUGUAAAGCUCUUCCACCGAUGAAGAUAAUGACGGUAGUCGGAGAAGAAGCCCCGGCUAACUUCGUGCCAGCCGCCGCAGUAA